rnacentral:lncRNA from 1 species
UCUAAUAAUGACCGAAGCGACAGGGUAGUGGCCAUAGCUGCAUAAAGAAAAACCAGAUCUCUAUUAGUAUAUAAAUUAUUAAUACUAAAGACUUGGACUUUAGUUUAAAGUUUCUCCCAGUAUUUUUACGAACUGGUAGCCUCAACCUCUAAUUCGAGGAAUUACUUUAAUUUCUUAGUGGGUACUAGAAUCCACACAGACUACACAUGAGCCCAACUUUGGUUGGUCAAUCCAUGUGCAUCUAUGGGUAGGUUC